rnacentral:rRNA from 1 species
AGUAAUUUAAAUAAAUCAUUUAUUAUUGUUCUAGUAGAUGAGAUCGAACUGGACAGUGGAUUAGGUGGCGAUAGUUAAUUUUAGUAGCGUGAGUGAAAGUUAGUAAUCAAUGAAGUAUCGGUGUUGGGCCUUCGUACCUUUUGCAUCAUGGAUUUACUACUGUUUAUCCAAAGGUAAUAACCCGAAAGUUUGAUGAUCUACUUUUUUGCUAUGGGUUGGCGUUGAAUUGCUUUCCGUAGACAAGAAUGUAGUGGCGAAAUACCUUUCGCAUUGGCCGAUAGCUGGUUGUUCUGGAAAUAUAUUUUAGUAUAGCCUCAUUUUGGGACGGAUUCUACGGUUAUAAAAGUGUCUUUAGGAUUGUCAGUCUUUUGGGAGAUGGCCCUUUCAGGAUAAGCUGGGGGGGUGCUUGAAAAGGAUGGGUGGUUAAUUUUUGGGGUUAGAAGUAGGUUUUAAGAAACCAUCUUUGCGGAGUGGGUUACACCACACAUAAGCUCUAUUUUAAUAAAUAUUAUUCUGGUCUAUCUUUUAUGAGUACAGAACCUUUUUACGUAAUUGUUUUAGUGGAAGAGAUAAUGUAAGUAUGAGUAAUCUGUGGCAGUCUGUUUUUUUUAUUACAAGGAAAAAAAUGUUAAGGUAAGUAAUUAAUAGUAAGCAAACUUUAAGGAACUCGGCAAAAGAGGGAACCGCCUGGUUUAUCAAAAACAUGUCUUUUUGUGUACCAUAAAAAGUCGUGCCUUCCCAGUGGGUUUUAACCUAAACGGAUGCGGUAAAUCGUGCUAAGGUAGCUAAAUUAUGGCCCAUUAAUUGUGGGUCUUGCGAACGGCUUGACGAGUUCCCUACUGUCUCAAAGUUGUUUUGGUGAACUUGAAUUGGAUGUGUAAAUGCUUCCAUGAGUGAGAAAGACGAGAAGACCCCGUGAAGUUAGAAAUUUUUUAUCUAGUAUGAAUUUUCAGUUUUUUUUGAGUUUGUAGAUGUAAGUUGAGAUCUUGAGAGUUGAAAAAUAUGGUUCUAUUGUUUUGGCUGGGGCAGCAAGAAGGCAAAACUAGACCUUCUUUAUUAAAAAACGGGUGCGUUACGACCCAUAGUUUUGAAAGGAAUGAUUAUCAGAAGAAGUUACUCCGGGGAUAACAGCGUUAUCCGUCCUGAUAGUCCUUAUAGAUGGGCGGGUUUGCGACCUCGAUGUUGGCUCUGGUUAUCCUGAGGCUUGCAGGAGGUCUCGAGGGUUGGUUUGUUCGCCCAUUAAAAUCCGACGUGAGCUGAGUUCAGAUCGGCGAAAGCCAGGUCGGUUUCUAUCUUCUUUCUUUAAUUUUGGGUCAAAGGGUACGAAAGGACAUUUGAUCUUAGGGUAUGCUCUGUGAGUGUGAAUUUAAAAUAA